UACGAAGGGGGCGAGCGUUGUUCGGAAUCACUGGGCGUAAAGGGCGCGUAGGCGGCCCUUCUUGUCGCGUGUGAAAGCCCCGGGCUCAACUUGGGAACGGCGCGCGAGACGGGAGGGCUGGAGUUCGGGAGAGGAGCGUGGAAUUCCCAGUGUAGAGGUGAAAUUCGUAGAUAUUGGGAAGAACACCGGUGGCGAAGGCGGCGCUCUGGACCGAGACUGACGCUGAGGCGCGAAAGCGUGGGGAGCAAACAGG
rnacentral:rRNA from 1 species